UAAGACAAACGGGCCGGCCGGUUAGGUUAACCCAACUGUUCUCUUGCUUUUCGUUUUUACUUCGGCCAUUGUGCCUGCCCGAGCAGCUCCAGACGCUCUUCCCUUGUCUUCCUCUCGCCUCCGGUGUCUCUUGCCGUCGGAUCGGAUCUGAUACUCUGAUGCCAGUCCUAGUUGCCAGGCUAACUUGAGUUAUUACCCCGCUCACCUGCCAUUCUUUCAAUGGUCGUCCUAUCGUCACAGCCUUCCCUCUGAUAAAACUCUAAAUCCAAAACCUCUAUCCUCGACUUAACCCUUUGAUUCCCAAAUCCCUAAACCAAUCUCGCUGAAGAAAGUCCAAUCUCACCGGAAUGGAGGAGGCAUGUCACCAUGAUUGUCGAUUAGAGUGGAAAUUGAGGAGGAGGAAAGAACAUGAUGCAGCAGAGGAAGCAAAUACAAAGGUGACAGUUACCGGAUCCAUUUCGUAUCCGGCUUUGGACAGCAAAGUUUUACUGGUCUUUGGACUCUUGUAUGUAUGCACAAGGAGGCCUAGCGUGGCACGAGAGUGAGUAAGACCGGUGCAGCUGUCGCGUUUCGAGGACAGGAAAAUCUUAUCCGUGCGCCACCUUUGGCCUUUGGGGCUUUGGAUCUGGAACGCGAGACCGGGCCAGAAACGGACGAAGAACGAGAUCAGUCGCGGUCGAUGAGCGAGAAAAAGCAGAGAUCGCCUGCCGGCCGCGUGAUUUUCACCCGUCGCGGUCGAUCGAUUGAAUAUGCGGUGACCUACCUUGGACUGGUCUAACUUGAUUUCUUGGAGUAGAGGCUGCUUGUCUUAAUCCUUGCCUCACUGGUGUACUACUAGCUAGCAGACUAUACAUUGUGCACCGUCCCAUCCGUAGCUGAAGACAAGGAACAGAAUUGAAACAGAACGGCCGUCGUCCACUCGUCGUGCGGUUGUCCCUUGCAUUCUCUUUCGUCGUGAUCUCGGAGGAGAUCAACGACACGAAGAGGAAAGAAAGCUGCCCGGCACGCAGCACCCUCCGCCCGUCGCAAAGUCCUCACGUCGUGCCCCCAAAAGCCGGCGGCGGAUCCCCCCCUCGCCGCGGGAUGUGGAUCACCGAUCACGACCACCCGGUCGGAGUCGUCGCGCGCCGUGGAAACCCACCCACAAUCCCGCGCUGGUUUGGUCACGCAACACGACGAGGAGGCAAAUCAUAGCGGCGCCGGCGCGUCGUGGGCGCGAGUACGCAUGCACCGUGAUCGCCCAUGCACCGGGGGCGGGAUGGCCGGGGUGGCAGAUUUGGCGUUUGCUGGACGAGCCCGAUUGGGCGAUUCGAACCGACUGGUUCCUCACUUCCUCGGCUCCUCUUCUUGAUCAUCAUCAUAGUACCGUAGGACGGUAGGAGUACAGCCGUCGGCAAGGUGAGGAGGCCACCGAUCUUCCGGGCCAGCACGCCGCCGGUCAGGCCAGACCCACAUGCUUCCCGUGCGGCCGGCCGGGGCAACCAAUCAUCCCGCGCGCGUUCCACCCGCC
rnacentral:lncRNA from 1 species